rnacentral:rRNA from 1 species
UACGGGAGGAUGCGAGCGUUAUCCGGAUUAUUGGGUUUAAAGGGAGCGUAGGCGGUCUGUUAAGUCAGCGGUAAAAUUGCGGGGCUCAACCCCGUCGAGCCGUUGAAACUGGCAGACUUGAGUUGGCGAGAAGUACGCGGAAGUGCGCGGUGGUAGCGGUGAAAUGCAUAGAUAUCGCGCAGAACCCCGAUUGCGAAGGCAGCAU